rnacentral:rRNA from 1 species
CGAGCGAACAGACGAGGAGCUUGCUUCUCUGACGUUAGCGGCGGACGGGUGAGUAACACGUGGAUAACCUACCUAUAAGACUGGGAUAACUUCGGGAAACCGGAGCUAAUACCGGAUAAUAUAUUGAACCGCAUGGUUCAAUAGCGAAAGACGGUUUUGCUGUCACUUAUAGAUGGAUCCGCGCCGCAUUAGCUAGUUGGUAAGGUAACGGCUUACCAAGGCAACGAUGCGUAGCCGACCUGAGAGGGUGAUCGGCCAUACUGGAACUGAGACACGGUCCAGACUCCUACGGGAGGCAGCAGUAGGGAAUCUUCCGCAAUGGGCGAAAGCCUGACGGAGCAACGCCGCGUGAGUGAUGAAGGUCUUCGGAUCGUAAAACUCUGUUAUUAGGGAAGAACAAAUGUGUAAGUAACUAUGCACGUCUUGACGGUACCUAGUCAGAAAGCCACGGCUAACUACGUGCCAGCAGCCGCGGUAAUACGUAGGUGGCAAGCGUUAUCCGGAAUUAUUGGGCGUAAAGCGCGCGUAGGCGGUUUUUUAAGUCUGAUGUGAAAGCCCACGGCUCAACCGUGGAGGGUCAUUGGAAACUGAAAAACUUGAGUGCAGAAGAGGAAAGUGGAAUUCCAUGUGUAGCGGUGAAAUGCGCAGAGAUAUGGAGGAACACCAGUGGCGAAGGCGACUUUCUGGUCUGUAACUGACGCUGAUGUGCGAAAGCGUGGGGAUCAAACAGGAUUA